AAAAAAAGAAAACGUCGUGAAUAUCGAAUUACUGAAAAAGAAGAGGGAAGAGAAAUUCUAAAAUUGAAGCACCGUGUCGAAUCAUCGCUGCGACUUCUCCAUCAGCGAAACUUUCUCGACGAUGCCUACCGCAGCCUCUGCACAAGCAUCGAAAUCUCCAGCACGGAAGAAGAACCGGGAGCUGUCGGUCCAACUAUGAGAACAGCCAUACCUCGUAGUGAAUUCACCACCCGUCACUACGCAUUAUCGCAUCGCAUGAACGGCUGACAGAUCACAGUGGAUACUCGACGAAAUGACUUGCAGCCUACACACAUUUACGAAACGUGGCUGAAGGGCACUCGACCGUUUUCGAGACAGAGAGAGAGAGAGAGAGAGAGAGAGAAUGAGAAAGAGAGGGGGGAAGGGGGAGAACCACUUCGACGUUCUAACGCAAUGUUCUCUCUUUUUCUCUCUCUUUCUCUCGAAGGAAUAAAAAUCGUUUAGGGAGAGGUGUGUCGUUCCAUCGAAACGAAGAAUACUGGAAGAUAUUAUUCGUGAUGUAUAAUUAUCGUCGUGUGCGUAAUCAUCUUGAAAUAACGGGUUGGAGUUUGGAUUUUUUUUUUGUCAGUCUGUGUUUCAGAGAUACACAGAGUGUACGGGUUUCUUGUAUUGGGCUAAUGAUAGACGGCUAACCGUUGCACUCCUGGGGACAAACUUCUGUUUGUCGCAGAGGAGGAUCGAAUUCUUUGCUCCAACGUUUGGAUCUACGUCGUAGAUUGGGAUACGUGAAAGGUGUUUACAUACGUGCAGCUGGAUGAAAUUUCUUUUAAAGAAGCGGAAGGACUACGGUAGCCAAGAGAGAGGAUUGUGCUAAGUCAAAAAAUCAACAUUAAGGCGCGGGGUCCGCGUCUUGAAUAGAAUUUUUUGUUUGGAAUAAGUAUUACUAUUACAGAUAUAUAUCUCAUCGAAAAGACUCGAGAAGAAUGGAAACAAGUAGGUGGACAGUAGAAGCAGCGAAACAAAGUUUUGAAAUUCGAAGAAACCCCUCGAAGAGUUUCUCGAAGUCGUCUCGUUGGCGCGGAGGAGGAAGAAUGUCGGGAAGAAUUAUCACCGGCGCGCAUCAGGAAGUGUCCCAUUACAUUCGUGGCGGCACGCCGAUUUUUCUCUUUCCAUGUUUCGGAACGAUCGAUCGUCACCACGGUGGCGCGACUUCUUUUCGGUACGUACAGGCCGAGCAUAGACCCUGCAGGGAUAUUAAUAUUCCGAUAACGUGUCCGGAUAUAUAUUAACCGUCUUUGUUCCUUCCAGACUUCUUUCCUCUUUCUCUUCUGUCCCCGCGACACAAGAUGAACGUUCUCGAGAUAAGAAGAGGAGUUCCACGAAGACUUACCUUCCACUUUAUUAUUCCUCCCCGUGCUCAUAGUUUCUGGCCCGCGGCUCGCUUUUGCCCCCGACCUUGCAACUAUUAUUACAGGACGUGGCGAGUUUCACGAUGCAACGAACGUGAAACGAGCCACGCGUUUCGCUUCGAAUCUUUGUAACUUUCGACCACUUGGCAUUCGUUGCCAACGUCGAAACAACCGUUUCCGUCGGUAAGAUAAGAUGGUGGAUGGAAUUUUCGUGGAAACACAUCUAAAUGAUGCCAUUUCCUUCUCGAUAACUCUCGAACGUGAACUCGAUAUUUAAUU